AGUGAACGCUGGCGGUAGGCCUAACACAUGCAAGUCGAACGGCAGCACAGUAAGAGCUUGCUCUUACGGGUGGCGAGUGGCGGACGGGUGAGGAAUACAUCGGAAUCUACUUUUUCGUGGGGGAUAACGUAGGGAAACUUACGCUAAUACCGCAUACGACCUACGGGUGAAAGCAGGGGAUCUUCGGACCUUGCGCGAUUGAAUGAGCCGAUGUCGGAUUAGCUAGUUGGCGGGGUAAAGGCCCACCAAGGCGACGCUCCGUAGCUGGUCUGAGAGGAUGAUCAGCCACACUGGAACUGAGACACGGUCCAGACUCCUACGGGAGGCAGCAGUGGGGAAUAUUGGACAAUGGGCGCAAGCCUGAUCCAGCCAUACCGCGUGGGUGAAGAAGGCCUUCGGGUUGUAAAGCCCUUUUGUUGGGAAAGAAAGGCAGCAGGUUAAUACCCCGCUGUUCUGACGGUACCCAAAGAAUAAGCACCGGCUAACUUCGUG
rnacentral:rRNA from 1 species